rnacentral:rRNA from 2 species
CUAAAACAUGCAAGUCGAGCGGACUUUAAAAGCUUGCUUUUAAAGUUAGCGGCGGACGGGUGAGUAACACGUGGGCAACCUGCCUGUAAGACUGGGAUAACUUCGGGAAACCGGAGCUAAUACCGGAUAAUCCUUUUCCUCUCAUGAGGAAAAGCUGAAAGACGGUUUACGCUGUCACUUACAGAUGGGCCCGCGGCGCAUUAGCUAGUUGGUGAGGUAACGGCUCACCAAGGCGACGAUGCGUAGCCGACCUGAGAGGGUGAUCGGCCACACUGGGACUGAGACACGGCCCAGACUCCUACGGGAGGCAGCAGUAGGGAAUCUUCCGCAAUGGACGAAAGUCUGACGGAGCAACGCCGCGUGAGUGAUGAAGGUUUUCGGAUCGUAAAACUCUGUUGUUAGGGAAGAACAAGUACAAGAGUAACUGCUUGUACCUUGACGGUACCUAACCAGAAAGCCACGGCUAACUACGUGCCAGCAGCCGCGGUAAUACGUAGGUGGCAAGCGUUGUCCGGAAUUAUUGGGCGUAAAGCGCGCGCAGGCGGUCCUUUAAGUCUGAUGUG